rnacentral:piRNA from 1 species
UACUUUCCUGGAUACCUCCUAAGUGCCAA